rnacentral:rRNA from 1 species
GAGCACGUAGGUGGGUUUGUAAGUCAGACGUGAAAGCCUUCUGUUCAACGGAAGAAUUGCAUCUGAAACUACAAACCUUGAGUGUAGGAGGGGAGAAUGGAACUUCUGGUGGAGCGGUGAAAUGCGUAGAUAUCAGAAGGAACGCCGGCGGCGAAAGCGAUUCUCUGGCCUAUUACUGACACUCAGUGUGCGAAAGCUAGGGGAGCAAACGGGAUUAGAUACCCCGGUAGUCCUAGCCGUAAACGAUGGGCACUAAGUGGAGGGAAUUACCGAUGUUCUCUCUGCCGUAGCUAACGCAUUAAGUGCCCCGCCUGGGGAGUACGGCCGCAAGGCUAAAACUCAAAAGAAUUGACGGGGGCUCGCACAAGCGGUGGAGCAUGUGGCUUAAUUCGAUGCAACGCGGAAAACCUUACCGGGGCUUGACAUGGUAGAAGUAGGAACCCGAAAGGGUAACGAACGGUAUCCAGUCCGUGACUAUCACAGGUGUUGCAUGGCUGUCGUCAGCUCGUGUCGUGAGACGUUGGGUUAAGUCCCCUAACGAGCGAAACCCUUGUUUUUAGUUGCCAGCGGGUUGUGCCGGGCACUCUAGAAAGACUGCCGUCGUCAAGACGGAGGAAGGUGGGGAUGACGUCAAGUCAUCAUGGCCCUUAUGCCCCGGGCUGCACACGUGCUACAAUGGCCGGUACAAACGGAAGCGAAGCCGAGAGGUGAAGCGAAUCC